UACGAAGGGUGCAAACGUUGCUCGGAAUCAUUGGGCGUAAAGCGCACGUAGGCGGCUUCGCAAGUCGGAUGUGAAAUCCCUGGGCUCAACCGAGGAAGUGCAUCCGAAACUGCGGAGCUUGAGUAUGGAAGAGGGUCGCGGAAUUCCCGGUGUAGAGGUGAAAUUCGUAGAUAUCGGGAGGAACACCAGUGGCGAAGGCGGCGACCUGGGCCAAUACUGACGCUGAGGUGCGAAAGCGUGGGGAGCAAACAGA
rnacentral:rRNA from 1 species